rnacentral:lncRNA from 1 species
ACUGAGAGAGUAGCAGGGUGGGAGGGGCUGUGUCGGAGCUGAGCAGGGCUGAGUGGGAGUCAUGGUCUAUACUGAAAGCAGAGUAGGGAUCUCAUGGGGACUCUCUUCCUUCUACCUGGACCCCAAAACUCACAGGUCCCUCCACUCAACCAGGAAAAAGAAGAGGGAAGCUCAUAUGCUCUUCGCCCUCAGUUCAGGAAUGGGGGGUGAACCAUUUCAUUUCUGGAAAUGCUGAGACCCAGAUUUAGCAAAGACCAAUUUCCUCAUUUAAAGGGUGCACCCACAUGACCAUGCCCUCCUCCUAUCCUCCUUCCUGACUUAAUGGGAGAAGUCGUGUCACAGAGGAGGGGCUGAAGCCUCAAAUAAUGGACAGGGCAGUCAGUACUUUUCAGAGCGUAAGUCUUGGUCAGAGAUAAAUAGAAGGCAAACCCUUUGAUCAGGAUACACAAUGACAUGGCUUCAUGACAGGCAUGCCAAAUACAUUUCUGUUUGUGAUAAAUCAUGGAGUCUGUUAUAGCAGCACAACGUAGACUGAGGUGGAAGUGAAGUCCAGGAAGCUGGGCUGCACAGCUCCUCAUCCUCAUUCCAUCAUUUCCAUCUGUGCAUUUUCCUGGUGAUUCCCUGCCCCUGGCACAUUCCUCACUGUCAUUUCUGCUGCAUCACAGUCACAGGCCUGCAAACAGAAACUGAGUCUCUUCCUGUCACCCCCUGCUCACACUGCUGGGAAAUCUUGCUAGGAAGGGCUUGGAAACAGGAAUAAGGCUGGGUGUGGUGGCUCACACCUGUAAUCCCAGCACUUUGGUAGGCCAAGGCAGGUGGAUCACGAGGUCAAGAGAUCGAGACAAUCCUAGCCAACAUGGUGAAACCCCGUCUCUACUAAAAAUACAAAAAUUAGCUGGGCCUGCUGGCAUGUGCCUGUAGUGCCAGCUACUCGGGAUGCUGAGGCAGGAGAUGAACCUGGGAGGAGCGGAGGCUACAGUGAGCCGAGAUCGGGCCACUGCACUCCAGCCUGGUGACAGAGAGAGACUCCAUCUCAAAAACAAACAAACAAACAAAGAAAAAAAAAACAGGAAUAAAGCCAGAGGUCAGGACCAACAGGGACCAUGUAAGUGCUGCAACUCAGACAUUCACAUAGAAGACCGGACACUAUUCCGAAGAGCUGUCCAGUGGGAGAAAACAAUGUCACCGCUAUGUGUAAGUUGAAAGGCACGGCCUUCAAUAACCUCAAGUCACAUAAACCGAGAAAGAAGCAUAGACGAUUUUAUGAGAUGAAAACAUGAUCACAUUGGAUGAAAUAUUCUGACAGCAAUGACUUCAAUACCUCACAAUUGCUGUGCUCUCCUCCCUCCAGUACCCCAGUACCCAGAGACUCUGUACCACAUUCCUGCUGCCUGGAUGAAGGACUGGCAUUGGCAAUUCAAGACGUUUUUUUCUAUCUCUUCAGUGAUAUAGAGUUAAAACCAGGUAUCUAUGAGGAUUCACCUGCUUUUGGUUUUUAUGAAGGUGUUUUUCUUGUGUAGAUACUUGUUAAAUUUAUGUCCUUGAGGCGUGGGGGUAAGAUUGGUGGAGCACUCUAUUGUGCCAUGUUGCAAGGUCUCCCCAAUUUAAAUUUUGAUGAAAUCCAGUUUAUCUGUUUUUUCUUUUGUUUCUUGUGCUUUUGGAAUCAUAUCCAAGAAAUCGUUUUAAGAUCCUAUGUCAUGAAAUAUUCUUCGAUGUUUUUUCUAAAAAUAUUAAAAUUCUAGGUCUUACAUUUAUUGUUUGAUACAUUUUGAGUUAAUUCUUGUAUGUGGCUUAUGGUAAGGUCCCAACUACAUCCUCAUGCAUGUGUAUAUCCAGUUUCCCCAAAAUCACUGGUUGAAAUGAGGGUCCUUUCCCAAAAGGGUGUCCUGGCACAUUUAUUGAAUCUCAACUGACCACCUAUGUGCAUGUUUACUUUUUGGCUAUCCUUUAUAUUUGAUUGAUUUCUAAGUCUGUCCUUAAGCCAGCACCACAUUGUUUUGAUUACUGUAGUUUUAAAGUGGUUAUAUUUGGGACACAAUAAAACAGGCACUGGCAAAGUCACUUUUAGGCUUUACACAUCUUGGAUUUGUCUUUGUUAUUUUUUCAGGAGUCAUAUAAAUACUAUUCCUCAUCAUUAUGCCUAUAUCUUGAGAAGUAAAGACACAUGCCCUAAUCAGCUGUGCUGGGGAAUAGGUCACCAUGAGAUAGAAGACACUUCUCAGUGUCCAGGAAACACUUCUUGGUCUCUUUCUUCCCAUGGCAUGACUCCCAUCUCAACUCACACCCCCCAUACUACACUUUUUGUUGUCACCAACACAGAGUCAUUGAGUGAAGCUUAGAUUCUGUUUUCAGUUCCCUCUAGUUCACUAGCCUCAAAACAUUCAAUGCUGAGCAGAAGGUGAGUGCCUGUUGUAGGCUGGACCACCUUGCAAAAAUGCUGCUUAUAAAAAUAAUUUCUGUCUUCCUGGCCCGAGUCAGUCCUUCACUUCCAUCUAUGUGCAGCCUGUUUUGCUGCUGGAACCGACUGACUAAUUUAUAACAAAUAGUAAUUUAUUUGGCACAAUUCUGGAGGCUGGAAUAUCCAGGAACAUACUGUUGGCAUCUGUCCAGGGCCUUUGUUUUGCAUCAUCUCAUAGUAGAAGGAGGAAUGACAAGGAGUGAGAUCAAGAGAGCAAGAUAGGGCCAAACUUGCUUUUAUAAUAAACUUACUCUCACAAUAACUAACCCAAUUCAGUAAAAAUGACAUUGAUCUAAUAAUGCAGAGCCCUUAUGACAUAAUCACCUCUUAUUACACCCCACCUCAAAACACGUGGAUUGGAUAUUACAUUUUUAACACAUGAACUUUGCGGCACAGAUUCAGACUAUAGCAGCCACAAAGGGAGAUGAAGGAAAUAUCACAAAAAUCCAGAAGAAACGAUGUCUUCUCACUUCCUCCAGCUAUAACUGGGCACAUUUGCUCACACAAUCAUUUCUGUAUUCUCUUCACACACACAUAUGUUGAACAUCCUCUCUGUGCCUGGUCCCAUGAAGUUGACACCCCCCAACUCCCUCAUCAAUGUUUCUCUCCACACUGAAUAGAAAUUCACAUUGAAUUUUCAUGAGUGAUAGACACUUAGUAUUCACUCUUUAUUCCAUUUAACAGUUAGCUUAUGUUGUCAAAAGAUGAUUAACGCACUUUCCUCUUUUUUGAGCUUCCCAAGACUCAAAGAUGUCUUCAGAACAAAGUGUAAAUCUUUUACAUUGGCAUCCAGGUUUUUCUAAUAGAAACCUAGCCUCUAGGAUACUUCCAAGAACUUCUUAACUCAUUCUGUGCUCCCUAAAAAUAACCUAUUAAUGUGGCAGCAAAAGCAUGUUGUGGCAUAUCUCUUUUGUUUUUGAUACUGUUUGCCACUUUUGUUUAAUUCUUACCUCCUCUCCAUAUAGAUAGAACAUACAAGUAUUUUAAUAUUCAGAAUAAUUUCCACCUCUUAUUGAAUUACACCCAAGGUUAUGUUGUGUCUAUUUAGGGGGAAAUAAUAAGAUUUUAAUAAUUAUUUUGUGACCCAUAUAUGGACUACUAACAAAAAUUGAGUUUUUCUCCUAUCUUAAACUCUGUAGCAUUAAAACUCAUGCUAGCAAAAUGAAUAAUAAAUUUUGGUCUGAAAAUCCAAAGUGAAUUCUGGCUGCAUCUGUUAUAGAGAUUUGGAGCUAUAAUUCAUCAAAAACGAAACAACACCUCUUUCUUACUCUGUCUUCUUGGCCCCUCACUUGCAAAUAGAUGCACCGAUGUUCAGCACCAUGAACAGUGCCACCGAGGUUUAUUUUUAAAAACCACUUUAGGGGACUUGGGCAUCAAGGUUAAAAGUGUCACAGAGUAGAUUUAUUUUUGGGGG